AAUCAACGCUGGCGGCGUGCCUAACACAUGCAAGUCGAACGCGAAAGCCCGCAAGGGUAAGUAGAGUGGCGCACGGGUGAGUAACACGUGGACAACCUGCCUUCGAGUGGGGAAUAACCUUCCGAAAGGGGGGCUAAUACCGCAUAAAACCUCGGAACACAAGUUCUGGGGUUGAAAAGAGCAAUUUGCUCGAAGAGGGGUCCGCGCCUGAUUAGCUAGUUGGUGAGGUAACGGCUCACCAAGGCUUCGAUCAGUAGCCGUCCUGAGAGGGAGCACGGCCACACUGGAACUGAGACACGGUCCAGACUCCUACGGGAGGCAGCAGUGGGGUAAGUUUUUGGCAAUGGGCGAAAGCCUGACCAAGCAACGCCGCGUGGGUGAUGAAGUAUCUUGGU
rnacentral:rRNA from 1 species